rnacentral:rRNA from 1 species
UAGGGAAUCUUGGACAAUGGGCGAAAGCCUGAUCCAGCCAUGCCGCGUGAGUGAUGAAGGCCUUAGGGUUGUAAAGCUCUUUCGCCAGGGAAGAUAAUGACGGUACCUGGAUAAGAAGCCCCGGCUAACUUCGUGCCAGCAGCCGCGGUAAUACGAAGGGGGCUAGCGUUGUUCGGAAUUACUGGGCGUAAAGCGCACGUAGGCGGCUUUCCAAGUUGGAGGUGAAAUCCCCGGGCUUAACCCGGGAACUGCCUCCAAAACUGAAAGGCUAGAGUCCGAGAGAGGUGAGUGGAAUUUCCAGUGUAGAGGUGAAAUUCGUAGAUAUUGGAAAGAACACCAGUGGCGAAGGCGGCUCACUGGCUCGGUACUGACGCUGAGGUGCGACAGCGUGGGGAGCAAACA